UAGUGAGUUUGAUCCUGGCUCAGAUUGAACGCUGGCGGCAUGCUUUACACAUGCAAGUCGAACGGCAGCGCGGGGCAACCUGGCGGCGAGUGGCGAACGGGUGAGCAAUAUAUCGGAACGUACCCAAGAGUGGGGGAUAACGUAGCGAAAGUUACGCUAAUACCGCAUACGAUCUAAGGAUGAAAGUGGGGGAUUCGCAAGAACCUCAUGCUCCUGGGAGCGGCCGAUAUCUGAUUAGCUAGUUGGUGAGGUAAAGGCUCACCGAAGGCGACGAUCAGUAGCUGGUCUGAGAGGACGACCAGCCACACUGGAACUGAGACACGGUCCAGACUCCGUACGGGAGGCAGCAGUGGGGGUAA
rnacentral:rRNA from 1 species